CGUUUUAAAUAUUCAACGAAAGUGACUCAUAAAAUAUAUGUCGUAAGUUGAUUUUAUUUUAAAAACGACUUCGAGCAGCCAAAUCACUUUUGAGUUUAUGACUAUCAAUGUUAAACUCCAUAGCUUUAUAAUUUAGAACCCUACUCAGAAAACAAGAGAACUCAUGAAUCAAGUUGUGGGACAAGCUAGCCUUCGAUGAGGACUUUUUUGAUAGAACUUAUCCGCAUUUGUAUUGCAUGAAGAGGAAAACCACAAAAGCAUCCUACAGUUAGCCUGAUAACGAGGGGAAUCUAACCAAUAAUCCGUGUACCACUGAGGAUAUUUAACACCAGAAUUGUGAUCGACGCGAAUCAAGAUGAGAGUCGCUUCGGGACAGUCAUCGGUGGAAUUCGAACCUGAGACACCUCACUGAUAGGCAUUUUAUCCUCUAAGCCACCAUAGUUACAUCAUGAGUAUAUAGUUCUUAUUCUACUCGAGCACUGCAGCCUAUCACAAGCCAAGGCUGUCUUUCAAAGUUUCCUUCAAAUGAUCCGAUCCUGAGCUUUUGGACUCAAUUUAUUUACUUCCAUCUACUCAAAAUCUCUUUCAGCAUUAUUCAGUGGGUUGUCUUCCUUUCGCUAUCUUUGAUAUACUCGGGAAAAGUUAUUUCUUGCUGGAUAUGAAUCAUCAUCUUUAAAUACUGUAUGAUCCACUCAUCAAAUACAAGAUGGUUUUAUUAUUUUUGAUGACAGUUCGUCAUUUUUUUUAAUCUAUCAUUUUCUAAAAUACUCGCUGUUAUAUUUUGUUCUAUUUAUUGUCACCGACAAUAAUUUAUAUUUGAUAUAAUGAGUAUCGUAUUGGAUACUUUAGAAGUAUUGUAAGACCACUUUAAAAUAUCGUUAUCACAAUGUUUCAAGAUAUCAAAAUUUGACGAUUCAAUGUUAUAUUGCUGAACUCUAGUUAUUACACGUAUUAAAUCGAGCAAAAUAUUAUUUUGUUUUUCUUAAGUAUAGUCUGCAGUACUGGAUUUUUUUCUCUUUUAGUUUUAAAUACGAAUCCAUUUCCGGAAUGCUGUAUGUAUAUGAAAUUAGUGGAGUAACUAAUGAUCCAGAAGCUGGAUUAUUCUGGCUGCUUUAUCAGGGUCAAGCUAAUGUGACAGACAAUCUCACUCACUACAAUUUCGGUCCAGAUCAACUUAUUAUGCAAGACAAGGAGCAUUUGGUCAUGUGGUACAAGAAAGCACAUUUCUGAAAAGUAUUUUAUUACUAGUUUGACCAACGAUAGUGUAAAUAAAAAUUUAAAAGAGUACUUUUUACACAUGUUAAACUUUAAGUUCUAUUUUGUAUGUAAAAAAAAAUAAAGGAUUCGUCUCA